rnacentral:piRNA from 1 species
UGGAUGUCCUAGAAUUUAACCCAGUUC